UACGUAGGGGGCAAGCGUUGUCCGGAUUUAUUGGGCGUAAAGAGCGUGUAGGCGGCCAUGCAGGUCCGUUGUGAAAACUGGAGGCUUAACCUCCAGACGUCGAUGGAAACCGUAUGGCUAGAGUCCGGAAGAGGAGAGUGGAAUUCCCGGUGUAGCGGUGAAAUGCGCAGAUAUCGGGAGGAACACCGGUGGCGAAGGCGGUUCUCUGGGCCUUACCUGACGCUGAGGAGCGAAAGCGUGGGGAGCGAACAGG
rnacentral:rRNA from 1 species